rnacentral:misc_RNA from 1 species
AAGUCGUAACAAGGUUUCCGUAGGUGAACCUGCGGAAGGAUCAUUAGCGAAGUUCGGAAUGCAUGUUCGGUGUUGAUGCUGCCCAGCAAUGGGAUGUGCUCACUCGGAUGUGUGUCCCUUCUCUAUCCACCCCACUGUGAACCAAGUGUGUGAGCCGAAGAGAAAUCGGACGCUCGCAUGCAAACCUUUAACAUACCCCAAUUAAGUAUCAGAAUGUACCUUGCGUUAACUCGCACAAAUAUAACUUUCAACAACGGAUCUCUUGGCUCUC